ensembl:lncRNA
GAUCAAUGGAUCACUUGUCCCUCCCACCUUUGGUCCCACCCUCUCAGAUGAGCCUCUCAGGGUCUCCCCUUUACCCACUUCCCAAAGUGACCAAGGCCGGAGGGCUGGGCCAGCCAGCGACCUGCCGAGAGUUUCCCACACAGCCUCGGCUGCAGGAGCUACCAGGCCCAGGAGAAGAGGGAGACUCAGGGGAUUGAAUAUGUUUGAGCAGUAGCAGAGAGAGAACUGGAACUGAACACCAUCCCUAAGCUCAGGAGGUGGCAAGGACGGCCCUCCUGCGGUCAGGGAUGCCUGGCUGACUCAGCUCCCCUCACUGACUGGCCGCUGUGCAUCCCAGGAGCCUGCAGAGGGUCUACAGUCUGGGCUGAGAGGUCAAGGUAUGACUGCAAUGCUCUACUGGUCACUGGUCCAGGCCGUGGCACCUGGAUAGGUACGUGUGCUAUGCUCUGACUAGCAGGGAUGUGAACAGCCUUUGGUAAUUUCUGGCUCCUGGGGGGUAACCAGCCUGCAGGUUAAGAUUUCAAGCCUGGUCAUCUUGUAGAGCUUUCAUCUUUGCCAUCAGAUCCUGAUUCUAUUUGGUGAAGGGCUGUGUUUAUAGUCCAGGUGAAAGAUGCUAUUCCCUGCUCUCCCAGCCUCCUUUGCAACCAGCAGUGGUCCCGUGAUCCUGUUCUGCCCAAUGUGAAGACUUCUUUUAAAAAAAAAUUAAUUUUUGAGCAGUCUUAUGUAUACAGAAAAACCAAGCAAACACAGCUUUAUAAAUCUUUUAAUUAAAAAAAAUGUUUUUAACUAAGCAGAAGGUAUCAGUUCCCAGAUGCCCCUUUAUCCCUUCAAAAGUUUCAUCUAUUAUCAACAUCCGGCAUUAAUGUAUGGCACAUUUGUUGCGAUCAAUGAGCUAAUAUUGACAUAUUAUUAUUCACUGAAGUCCAUAGUUCACCUUCGAGUUCCCUCUUGGUAUUGCACAUUCUAUGGGAUUUGACAAAUGUAUAAUGACAUGUAUCCACCACCAUAAUAUUAUACAGAAUAGUGUCUUGGCCUAAAAAUCCCCUUGGUAUGCUCUACCUAUUCAUCCUUCCCUCUCCCCAAAUCCAAACUGCUGAAAACCACAGCUCUUUGUGCAUUUGUUUUUCCUACUGAAGUAUAGUUGAUUUGCAAUGUUGUGACAAUCUCUGCUGUAUAGCAAAGUGACUCAGUUAUGCA